UACGUAGGUGACAAGCGUUGUCCGGAUUUACUGGGCGUAAAGAGCGCGCAGGCGGUCGUUCAAGUCGAGUGUGAAAGCCCCCGGCUCAACUGGGGAGGGUCAUUCGAUACUGAUCGACUCGAAGGCAGGAGAGGGUAGUGGAAUUCCCGGUGUAGUGGUGAAAUGCGUAGAUAUCGGGAGGAACACCGAUGGCGAAGGCAAUCCCCUGGACCUGUACUGACGCUCAUGCACGAAAGCGUGGGGAGCAAACAGG
rnacentral:rRNA from 1 species